rnacentral:tRNA from 2 species
GACUUUGUAGUGAAAUUCAUGGUGAGUUGCAAGCUCAUCGAUGUGUGCCAACUGCACGCCGAAGUCU